rnacentral:lncRNA from 1 species
CUUUAUUCGACGGCCUUUAUUGAGAAGUGGGAGUUUGGCUCACAAAUCAACUUCUCAGCUCCUGAGAGCUGGGAAACCAUAGAUACAGGCUUCAUCUUUAAUGAAAAAGUUGGGCAUUAAAAGCAAGGGGAGGAAUAUCCAUGUCUUUUCUGGAAAUGGGAGAACUCCUUGGAACCAGAGUUACUACCUUCCUUUUUGUCCCUUUAUGGUUUCUUCUGGCCAUUGUCAUGGCAAUGUCAACUGUCAUGACACUGAUGGGAGUGUCAUUUAGCAAGGAAAUUAUAUUAUAAUGAAGUUAGAGGUUCUUUGGAGGUCAAGUGAGCUGCCGUCUUGCAUCUCACCAGUUUCAGCCAGUUUGGUCACAAAGGUGAACUUCUGGCCUUGGCAUCCUGUUGCUCAGUAAGUAAGAAUUCCCUUCCCUACAGUUGGUUACCUGGGCAGGAGUUGCAACUCAUAGUUGCAACCAGCCAAGGACUUGUUUUAUUUGGCUCACAUUGUGGCUUCUCUAAUCUGAAUUUGGAUGUUUUUAGAAGCGGCACACAUUUCCAGGAGGACAGGGACCCCACCACCCCUCAUAUUUCAAAAAAUACCAGAUAGCUCCCACAUAUCUGUUCACUGCUUAGCCCUAAAAGCAUUUGUGGCAGAUUGUAUUUUCCAAGGUGGCCACAACUACAUCUCCCAUUCCACAUACUCUUCAUGCAAUGUGACACUGAUAGCCCUCCCAUCGAGAGGUGGGGUCUAUGUUUUCUCCUCAAGAAUCAGAUAUGUGAGUACAGCACAAAGAAUGCUAUGUGGCUUCCAAGGCUAGGUCAUGUAAGGCAACACAGUUUCUACCUGGUUCUGUCGGGACACUUGCUCUUGGAACCUAGCUGCCAUGCUG